UGCCAGCCGCCGCGGUAAUACGGAGGGUGCGUGCGUUAAUCGGAAUUACUGGGCGUAAAGCGCACGCAGGCGGUUUGUUAAGCUAGAUGUGAAAGCCCCGGGCUCAACCUGGGAUGGUCAUUUAGAACUGGCAGACUAGAGUUUUGGAGAGGGGAGUGGAAUUCCAGGUGUAGCGGUGAAAUGCGUAGAUAUCUGGAGGAACAUCAGUGGCGAAGGCGGCUCCCUGGGUCGACGCUGACGCUCAGGCACGAAAGCGUGGGGAGCAAACAGGAUUAGAUA
rnacentral:rRNA from 1 species